rnacentral:rRNA from 1 species
AGUGAACGCUGGCGGUAGGCCUAACACAUGCAAGUCGAACGGCAGCACAGUAAGAGCUUGCUCUUACGGGUGUCGAGUGGCGGACGGGUGAGGAAUACAUCGGAAUCUACUUUUUCGUGGGGGAUAACGUAGGGAAACUUACGUUAAUACCGCAUACGACCUACGGGUGAAAGCAGGGGAUCUUCGGACCUUGCGCGAUUGAAUGAGCCGAUGUCGGAUUAGCUAGUUGGCGGGGUAAAGGCCCACCAAGGCGACGAUCCGUAGCUGGUCUGAGAGGAUGAUCAGCCACACUGGAACUGAGACACGGUCCAGACUCCUACGGGAGGCAGCAGUGGGGAAUAUUGGGCGAUGGGCGCAAGCCUGAUCCAGCCAUACCGCGUAGGUGAAGAAGGCCUUCGGGUUGUAAAGCCCUUUUGUUGGGAAAGAAAAGCAGCAGGUUAAUACCCCGCUGUUCUGACGGUACCCAAAGAAUAAGCACCGGCUAACUUCGUG